UCCAGACUCCUACGGGAGGCAGCAGUGGGGAAUAUUGCACAAUGGGGGAAACCCUGAUGCAGCGACGCCGCGUGAGUGAAGAAGUAUUUCGGUAUGUAAAGCUCUCUCAGCAGGGAAGAUAAUGACGGUACCUGACUAAGAAGCCCCGGCUAACUACGUGCCAGCAGCCGCGGUAAUACGUAGGGGGCAAGCGUUAUCCGGAUUUACUGGGUGUAAAGGGUGCGUAGGUGGCAGGGCAAGUCAGAUGUGAAAGCCCGGGGCUCAACCCCGGUACUGCAUUUGAAACUGUCCAGCUGGAGUGCAGGAGAGGUAAGCGGAAUUCCUAGUGUAGCGGUGAAAUGCGUAGAUAUUAGGAGGAACACCAGUGGCGAAGGCGGCUUACUGGACUGUAACUGACACUGAGGCACGAAAGCGUGGGGAGCAAACAGGAUUAGAUACCCUCGUA
rnacentral:rRNA from 1 species